AAAGACUGACGCUCAUGCACGAAAGCGUGGGGACCAAACAGGAUUAGAUACCCUGGUAGUCCACGCUGUAAACGAUGAUCACUCGUUGUUGGCGAUAUACUGUCAGCGACUGAGCGAAAGCAUUAAGUGAUCCACCUGGGGAGUACGGCGGCAACGUUGAAACUCAAAGGAAUUGACGGAGGCCCGCACAAGCGGAGGAGCAUGUGGUUUAAUUCGAUGAUACGCGAGGAACCUUACCUGGGCUUAAAUGCAGGACGACGUUUCGUGAAAGCGGAAUUUCCUUCGGGACGUCUUGCAAGGUGCUGCAUGGUUGUCGUCAGCUCGUGCCGUGAGGUGUCGGGUUAAGUCCCAUAACGAGCGCAACCCCUAUUCUUAGUUGCCAUCAGGUCAUGCUGGGAACUCUAAGAAAACUGCCUACGCAAGUAGUGAGGAAGGUGGGGAUGACGUCAAAUCAGCACGGCCCUUAUGUCCAGGGCGACACACGUGCUACAAUGGCCAGUACAGAGGGUUGCAAA
rnacentral:rRNA from 1 species